GUAGGGAAUAUUGCGCAAUGGACGAAAGUCUGACGCAGCAACGCCGCGUGUGGGAUGAAGCUCCUUGGAGUGUAAACCACUGUCGGGGGGGACGAACGAUCAGGGCUCUAACAUAUCCCUGGUUUGACGGUACCCCUAAAGGAAGCUCCGGCUAACUCCGUGCCAGCAGCCGCGGUAAUACGGGGGGAGCAAGCGUUGUUCGGAAUCACUGGGCGUAAAGGGUGCGCAGGCGGGAAAUUAAGUCGGAUGUGAAAACCUCGGGCUCAACCCGAGGCCUGCAUUCGAAACUGGUUUUCUUGAGUAUCGGAGAGGAAAGUGGAACUCCAGGUGUAGCGGUGAAAUGCGUAGAUAUCUGGAGGAACACCGGUGGCGAAGGCGGCUUUCUGGCCGAAUACUGACGCUCAUGCACGAAGGCUAGGGGAGCAAACAGGAUUAGAAACCCCUGUAGUCC
rnacentral:rRNA from 1 species